rfam:Thielavia terrestris NRRL 8126 chromosome 2, complete sequence.
ACAUACGGCCACAGGCGGUAGAGAAUUCGGGAUCCCGUCCGCUCUCCCCUAGACAAGCUACCGACCGCCGAAUUAGUACUCAGGUCGGUGACGACUGGGGAAUCCUCGGUGCUGUAUGUC